AAAGAACAAAGCUGGAGGCAUCACUCUACCUGACUUCAAACUAUACUACAAGACUACAGUAACCAAAACAGCAUGGUACUGAUACCAAAACAGAGGUAAAGACCAAUGGAACAGAACAGAGCCCUCAGAAACAUUCAAACCAUUUCAUACAGAGCUCCUAGAAGAAUCUUUUUGGAAUACACAUCCAACAGUGUUAUUCUCUUAAUUUCCUUGGUUGGCUACCCAUUACUUCUAGCGUAGCAGACACGCUGCCGGAUGGACAAGUCAAGUCUUUGUCACAGAUUAGAAGUAAAGCAUCCAGACCACCAAAGCAAAGAGACAGAAGCUAUGGUCAUGGUUCAAUAGGUAGCAGAAAAACCACAGGAUUUCCAACUAACCUCAUGUUACUUUGUAAAAAAAGAGUAUAUAUGAAAAAAAAAUUUUUAACAGCUGAUUGCAAUUACAUUUUUGAUAUAUGUUAAAUAAAAUGCUUGUUUCACAUAUGACAAAGAUCCACCAAAGCAUAUUAUGAAUAUAU
rnacentral:lncRNA from 1 species